rnacentral:rRNA from 1 species
GACGAACGCUGGCGGCGUGCUUAACACAUGCAAGUCGAACGGAAAGGCCCUGCUUUUGUGGGGUGCUCGAGUGGCGAACGGGUGAGUAACACGUGAGUAACCUGCCCUUGACUUUGGGAUAACUUCAGGAAACUGGGGCUAAUACCGGAUAGGAGCUCCUGCUGCAUGGUGGGGGUUGGAAAGUUUCGGCGGUUGGGGAUGGACUCGCGGCUUAUCAGCUUGUUGGUGGGGUAGUGGCUUACCAAGGCUUUGACGGGUAGCCGGCCUGAGAGGGUGACCGGCCACAUUGGGACUGAGAUACGGCCCAGACUCCUACGGGAGGCAGCAGUGGGGAAUAUUGCACAAUGGGCGGAAGCCUGAUGCAGCAACGCCGCGUGCGGGAUGCCGGCCUUCGGGUUGUAAACCGCUUUCGCCUGUGACGAAACGUGAGUGACGGUAAUGGGUAAAGAAGCACCGGCUAACUACGUG